GACGAACGCUGGCGGCGUGCUUAACACAUGCAAGUCGAACGGAAAGGCCUGCUUUCCCUUGUGGAUUGCGGGUACUCGAGUGGCGAACGGAUGAGUAACACGUGAGUGAUCUGCCCCCAACUUGGGUAUAAGCCUGGGAAACUGGGUCUAAUUCCCGAUAGGACUGCAGGGUGGUGCCUGUGGUGGCAAACGUUUUUCUAGUGGUUGGGGAUGAGCUCGCGGCGUAUCAGCUUGUUGGUGGGGUAAUGUCCUACCAAGGCGGGGACGGGUAGCCGGCCUGGGAGGGUGGACGGCCGCAUUGGGACUGAGAUACGGCCCAGACUGCUAGGGGAGGCAGCGGUGGGGAAGAAAGCACAGUGAGCGGAAGCCUGAUGCAGCGACGCAGCGUGGAGGAUGACGGCCUUCGGGUUGUAAGCUACUUGCGACCGAGAGGAAGCCACCUGGUUGUAAGGGUGGUGACGGUAGUGGUAGAAGAAGCACCGGCUAACUACGUG
rnacentral:rRNA from 1 species